CGCAGGAGUCUUCGGUCAUCACAUGAGAAGCGUGAUUGCUCCUGCAAACGCCUGUUAGAUUCAGUGACAGUUGCAGGAACCUUUGUGCUCCUAUCGAUCCCAAUAAUACAGGUUCCAUCCAUUGAUUUGGACAGCAGCAGCGGCCUUGGUGAGUCCUUGUACUGCCCAUUUCUCCGUGCCUCCUGUACCGAGGUUUUUACAGUUAGGCCUCCGGAUUCCCGGUUGAUGGAGUCCUUCACUAUAUCUCUGAAACCGACAUUAGGAUGCCCGGGCUUGGUGUUCAUGUCAGUUUCCUUCAAACUUGGUGAUCUCUUCAGUGACCUCUGCA
rnacentral:lncRNA from 1 species